AUUGCAGCAAGAAGGGCAAAACAACCGUAAUGAUCCUACUCUCCAACGAAAUCACUGAUGCUUACAGAGAAAUUAAAAAUUGAAUUGAGUGUUCUGAAAAAUUCUCUGUGUAGCUGAAACUGUAACCUGGAUAAUUCAUUUAGGCUAAAUAUAUGGUUGUAAUUGAAAAUCCAAAUAAGGUAUGCAUAUGCAUUGAUCUGUAUGAUUUAAAUCAAGCUAUAAAACAUCAACAUUAUCCAGCAAAAGCUGCUGAAGAAAUAGCGGCCAAGAAGAAUAUGGAAUUCCAGGGAGACCGUUGCACUGGCUGGGAAGAGAACUUAAUUGAUUUUGACAAAGAAACCUAUUUGCUGUUUAAUUGAUUCCUACUCUAAAUUCACAGCUUUCAGACCCAGCAGAGAGAAGCAGCAGAAUAGUGAUUACCCAUAGCAAAUUACAGCUCAGCGGGUCCAGAACACUCCAGGUCCUGGUUAUUCUCUAUUUGCCAAAUUACUGCUGUGGAUUUUCAGAGGAACACUAAAACCGACUCAUAUGAGCUCACAAAUCUUUCAAAGAUUUCCAGAAUGAUUGAAAGAGUUCUCAGACCACCAGAAAGACCUUAGGAGAAGCAGUAAGGACCCUCGUUUUAUUCCAGAAGUAUCCAUGCUCCUCUGCGCCUCCUUUAGGAGCUACCACCACCAGACUGAGCCCCAGAGCACCUUUCCUGCUCCAGAGUCACAGUUCGGCAGCUCACGAGUCCCGGCAGCGGCACCAGGUCAGGAUGCAGGGCACAGAGGGAAGAGAACACUGUCCAGUCUUGCCAGGACCUGCCAGAAGAGCCUCUGAAGGAAGAGCCUGAAGUACGUGGCACCACCUGGUAGACGUUCCCCCUCGAUCUGCCCGGGACCCCACACUGGGAAGAGCCGCAGCCUCAGCUCACAACCUUUUCAGAGUAUUUACAGGAUAAAAUAUGCAAUUCAAAUGAGAAGCAAAAGGUCAGAAACCAAAAAACAGGCAGUUAAAUACAUUUCAAUUUG